GCCGGUCUGUCGCUCGGCCACGCAUGAGGGCCGAGAGGAAAGUCCGGGCAACAAAGAGCACCAUAUUUCCUAACGGGAAGCUGUCGGCAACGGCAGAGUAAUGUGACAGAAAACAACCGCCUGAAAAGGCAAGGGUGAAAAGGCGAGGUAAGAGCUCACCGGGCGCGACAGCAAUAUCGCGCGCCGCACAUCUUAUGGGUUGCAAGGUCAAGUAUACCGGCAUUCAAGGGCUGCUCGUCCAUUGCCGGGGGGUAGACUGCUAAAGCCCGGUGGCGACACCGGUGCGUAGAUAAAUGACAGACGGGACGCCGCAACUCACCCCCUCGAGGGGCGAAAGUACGGCUCCUACAUAACCCGGCUUACAGGCUGUC
rnacentral:RNase_P_RNA from 1 species